rnacentral:lncRNA from 10 species
CCGCCCGCGCCGUGCUGGACUCCACCAACGCCGACGGUAUCAGCGCCCUGCACCAGGCCUGCAUUGAUGAGAACCUGGAGGUGGUGCGCUUCUUGGUGGAGCAGGGCGCCACUGUGAACCAGGCAGACAACGAGGGCUGGACGCCACUGCACGUGGCCGCCUCCUGUGGCUACCUAGAUAUCGCCAGGUACCUCCUGAGCCACGGGGCCAACAUCGCCGCCGUCAACAGUGACGGGGACCUGCCCCUGGACCUGGCCGAGUCGGACGCCAUGGAGGGGCUGCUGAAGGCGGAGAUCGCCCGCCGAGACAGGAUCUCACGCUGCCUCCCAGGCUGGAGUGCGGUGGAGUGAUAAUGGCUCACUGCAGCCUUGACCUCGUGGGCCCAAGUGAUCCUUCCAUCUCAG